GGCCAAAGGGAAGGUCAGUCCAGCCAAUGCUAGGCUUGCCAGGCUAUGCACUCUGGUGCAGGGCCACAGUCACACUGGAGGAGGUUUUGUUUGUUUUUUUUUAAAGAUUCUAUUUAUUUAUUCAUGAGGGACAGAGAGAGAGAGAGAGGCAGAGACACAGGCAGAGAGAGAAGCAGGCUCCAUGCAGGGAGCCUGACAUGGGACUCAAUCCCAGGUCUCCAGGAUCAGGCCCUGGGUCAAAGGUGGUGCUAAACUGCUGAGCCACCCGGGCUGCCCUGGGGGAUGGUUUUAAAAAGUUCUCGUGUAGAUGCUACGUGGGGCAGUGCUGGCUGGCCUCGUUCUUAGACAUGUCCCCUGGCUUAGUGUCUCCGACGGCUUCUGUGGACUCUGUCCCUUGCCUAACAAAGCCCUUCUCGAUCUGUGCCUCAGCCUUUCCCCCAGGAUCCCCCAGCAGUGGUCUCACUGGUCUUCUAGAGCUUUCGGAACAUAUUCCAUGGUAGCUCUUUCUACAGUAGCUGGUGGGCGUCUCAAGGGCAGCUCCCUAUAGCACCCAAACCUCUCUGUCCCCAUUCAUCCCUCUCACCCCACAGCAUCUGCCUGCAGGAGCCGCAGGUGGUGGCGUCACCGCAGCUUCGGAUCCAAGAGAUUCAUUCCAGCUGCGAAAGCGCUAAGCUUUCCCUGUGAUCACACAUUUUUGCACCAGCCAGAGCUUGCACAUGCCUCUACAGACCGGCGGCCAGAGGCAUGUGGCUAUCGGCGGCUGCUCAGAGGUGCUGGCCAAGGCCGGCCGGCCAGGGAGGCCUCGAUCACGUGCAAGGAGAGAUCUAUUGGAAACAACUGACAAGAAACUGUACGUCGGAAACCGGAACAGCUGUGAGCUCCUCAACGCAGCAGAUGGGAAAAGUACAGCUGUGGGAUGGUGGAGGCCCAGAAGGGGCCUGCCUGUGCGAUGCGCUAAGAGAGCUCACCACUCUGGCCACACGGACCUUGAAGAGAUUACCAGAUGGGAUACAAAGACACAGUCUAGUCUUACAUUGCUUACAAAAGACUCUGGAAGCCAAGCUAUCUUUUUUAUAAGAUAA
rnacentral:lncRNA from 12 species